AGAUGUAACCGUUUUUUCGUGAAACGGUAUAACUGCAAUCAACACACGGCCGCCAUUCUCGAUGAUUGACAACUCACGUUUUUCCUCAUCCACCAAAGAACCGUUAGGUUUCUUUGAACAUACUGUAAUAACAUUGGGAUUAUCAGUUAAUCAGCUUUAAUUAUCCCGCUUUGUUCGUUGCCAUUUCUUAUAUUUUCCACAAAAAAACUUUGCCUUGUACGCACUAAUUUAUCAAUUGGUAUUGCCAUCUACGACAAGCAUGUCACCGUGCAGCUCACGGAUUAUCGUUAACAAUUUCUAGGGGCUUGUAAAAAAAAGAUUGCAUGUCGUGUAAAUAUUUAUUUUGUUUUUUGUGUAGGUCAUUUUCAAAUAAAUUCAUCAGCAUAUUAUUCGUUUUAAAUAAAUAUAAAACUUUUAUGAGAAACGAUGAUUAUCAAAGAACCGUAAGUGCAACUAAUGUUUUAUCGUUUGGUUGAGCCUUUUACUAACCACGUGUUUCAUGUUAAUAAAUAUUUUCUUUCGUGUUUUGAAUUGGCCUAUUUCUAAUAAAUUAUCCCGAGUCCCAAACGUCGUUAACGGUUAACCCGAGUCCCAAACGACAUUUUUACCAAAGUCCCAAACGUCGUAUACCCGAGUCCCAAAUGUCGUGGUCAUAUUUUUUUGAGUCCCAAAUGACGCGAGUCCCAAAUGACAUGUAAUCCGUUGUUCAACCUCUGUGAGUCUGUGUAAUAUUUAAUAUUAGGCCCCAUUUUUGCCUGAUUCAGUCACAGUUAAUAAAUAAUGGAACUAGAAUCAGCCUGUGGAAGUUUCUCUAUAGUUUUAUUAUUUUUUCCAGUCAAUGAUGAUAUGUGACUCUUUCCACCUUCCAGCAAUAAUUAUUGAGAAUUUACCAAGGACUCCAUUGGCAUUGAAUCGAAGAAAAACAGUUUCAAUAUUGGAUGUAUAUGCAAAUCACCCAGAAAAAGAUCAUGUAAUAACAAAAGAAAUUAUAAAAGAAAAAAAUGGAAGAAGAAAUGGCUGGAAAAAAUGAUGAUAGAGCAGCUUUUUCUUGUUACCCACCUCGGAAGAUCAAGUUGGAAUGGGCUAUUGAUAUUGUGGAGACGUUUUCUCACAGAUCUUGCUUAUCAGACAAAGACUAUGCUGGAACACCAUUGAAAGAGUAUUUGCUGUAUGAUAACAACAAGAAAACCCAAGCAUCAAUUUAUUUUAUACUUCUGGGAAAGAAUGCAUUUGACCCAAUUUUUAAAUAUUUUUUUUUUGUUAUUAAUGUUAAAUUUUCUUCCAAAACACAAUUAGAUUUUAAUUCUCUUCAGAAAUGUAUGUAUAAUAUAGCAAGUAAAGUGACAUAUAAAUCACUUAGAAUUUGGUCAGAAAUCAUAAAGUAUUUAAUAGACAUUACUAGAAACCAAAUGUAGAUCAAAUACACCCAGAAUUACAAAAAACCUUGACCUACAUAAAGGUGACUUUCCCUUGCUUAUGAAAUGAAAUACGGUUUAGUAUCCUACUUUUCUGUGUUCUUAGAGUGAUUCUGCCCUACACCCUACUCUUAUAUCAAAUAUUUCAACUGUCAAGGGUUCUUUAACGGGAACCCGGGGGGGGGGGGGCAAUGAUUAACACGCACACAUUUGAUCAGGAAGUCUGUCAUUGAGUCAAAUAAUUCAAUUGUCAAGGGUUCUUCUAAGUGAACGCAGUGGGGAUGGUUUCGUUUCCGGAAAUGGGGGAGGGGGUGGUGGAUGGCCGAAUGGUAACCAUGUGCGUGCGGUAUCAUAUGGCCUGUCAUUGAGUCAACUGGCGUGGUUUCGAAUCCCCGGUUGUACGUGACAAGGAGUAGGGUCGCCUGUCCAAUCUUGUGGGUUUUCUCCGGGACCUCCGGUUUCAUCCCACUGCUAAAGACCCCUAUGCGCAACGAAUUAUUGAAAUAAAAUUAAACCAUAUGUUAAUCCCGAAAUGACCUAGUUUGUGUCAAGUGGACGUUAAACCCCAUUUCUCUCUCUCUCUCUUUCGAUUCCGGGCUUGUACCCAAUUAUCCCUUGCCAUAUCCAACACUACUGACAAGUGGGAACUAUGCCGGAAAAUCCAGUUGAAAUUUCUCGGCCAACACCUUAUACUCACUGAACCACUGUGGCUUAUGACUUGUGAUUGUAUAUAAAUUUUUUGUACAUAUGAUAUUUUUUUAUUUCAAUCCUGUAAUCUUGAUGCUUUGCUUCUUUUAUUUACAAAAUAUUCAUUUUGUUUGGGGUUUUUUUAAUGAGGAAAAGGUUUUACAUCAUUUUAUUACUCCUGCAAAAUAGUGCAUUUUUCAUUUGUUAGUUUUCUGUGUAUAUUAGUUAUUUCUAUAUGUCUCACAAAUCACUUGUAGUGUGAUUUUGUGGCACUUUUCAGUUUUUGAAAUUGUUUCAAUUUAGUGCAUAAUUAAUCUUAGUGCUUGGUUUGGAUGUUAUUAAAUUUAGAUAUUAUUUGAAUUAUAUAUUUUGGAGUAUGGGGUAGGGAUACUGUGUACAUAUCUUUAUAUUCUCAGUUCUUGUUUUGGGGUAAAGAACAAUUUAUAUAGCUAUUUUAUAUUUUGUGAUAGGUAAAGUGUGUGGGGUUAAGAACAAUUUAAAUAGCUAUGUUAUAUUUUGUGAUGGGUAAA